rnacentral:lncRNA from 1 species
CAACACCCUUUUUUCAUAAUAUGUGGAUAGGUUUGUUUUUAAAUGUUGGUGACUUAAACCUCCUGAAGAGAGGGACCUCAUCAGAGUGGAAGUCAGGAAAUUGAGAGCUGGAAACUUGGCAGGGGCUUCCACAUUAUGGAACAAUUUCUAUAGCUGCAAUGAACUUAAAAAAAAUACACUUAAACAUUUAUAAAUGUAUGCUUUGCCUGGAAGGAGUCUGGCAAAAACAACAAAUAAUCUUAAAUGUAUACAUUUCAUAAAAGUGC